GUCCUUCACACCAGAGAGCUGAAACACACAGUCGUACCUCCUCCAGUCUUCAGCUGAUGAAAGUUUCAGGUCAACACUCAUCUGGAAGGUUCCAUCGUGGUUGGGGAGGAUCUCUCCGAGGUCCACGUCCUCAUGAAGCUCCUCUCCAUCUUUCCUCCAGAACAGUGUGGCUCUGUCAGGGUAGAAACCUGUAGCGUGGCAGCUGACUGGAGAGGAGGGAGUCUUCUGGAGGAGA